CGGCUGCGCGAAGUGCGCCGUCGCCAUGGUAACCGCGGAAGCCUGGGCCCUGGGUGAGCCUCUCGAUGUUCCCGUUGUGUAGUCGGGAAGUUUCUGGACCUCCCGGAACCAUUUAUACACUGUUGCUGUCUUCAGACGCACCAGAAGAGGGCACCAGAUCCCAUUACAGAUGGUUGUGAGCCACCAUGUGGUUGCUGGGAAUUGAACUCAGGACCUCUGGAAGAGCAGUCGGUGCUCUUAACCACUGAGCCAUCUCUCCAGCCCGGCCUUCACUUUUCUCGAAAGGUGGCUCUCUCCACUGUGUGAGGAGAGCCAGGACGAAAAGGUAUUUUUGGAGUUAAUGGAGCCAGAAGAAGCUCUAGAAUCAGAGAGUUCAGAAAAGUCACUAUUUUCCUCACGGCAUGACUAUGAAGAAUCCCAAGAAGCAGAUGAAACAGGCACCGAGAACCCCCUCCUGCAGCCGACUCUCACCGGGGACGUA
rnacentral:lncRNA from 1 species